GAACGCGAAGAACCUUACCAAGGCUUGACAUAUACGAGAACGGGCCAGAAAUGGUCAACUCUUUGGACACUCGUAAACAGGUGGUGCAUGGUUGUCGUCAGCUCGUGUCGUGAGAUGUUGGGUUAAGUCCCGCAACGAGCGCAACCCUCGUUCUAUGUUGCCAGCACGUAAUGGUGGGAACUCAUGGGAUACUGCCGGGGUCAACUCGGAGGAAGGUGGGGAUGACGUCAAAUCAUCAUGCCCCUUAUGUCUUGGGCUUCACGCAUGCUACAAUGGCCGGUACAAAGGGCUGCAAUACCGCGAGGUGGAGCGAAUCCCAAAAAGCCGGUCCCAGUUCGGAUUGAGGUCUGCAACUCGACCUCAUGAAGUCGGAGUCGCUAGUAAUUGCAGAUCAGCAACGCUGCGGUGAAUACGUUCCCGGGUCUUGUACACACGC
rnacentral:rRNA from 1 species